rnacentral:rRNA from 1 species
UACGGAGGGAGCUAGCGUUGUUCGGAAUUACUGGGCGUAAAGCGCACGUAGGCGGCUACUCCAGUCAGAGGUGAAAGCCCGGGGCUCAACCCCGGAACGGCCUUUGAAACUAGGUAGCUAGAAUCUUGGAGAGGCGAGUGGAAUUCCGAGUGUAGAGGUGAAAUUCGUAGAUAUUCGGAAGAACACCAGUGGCGAAGGCGACUCGCAGGACAAGUAUUGACGCUGAGGUGCGAAAGCGUGGGGAGCAAACAGG